rnacentral:snRNA from 1 species
AUACUUACCUGGCAGGGGAGAUGCUAUGAUCAUGAAGGUGGCUCUCCCAGGGCGAGGCUCACACAUUGCGCUCAGGUGUGCUGAGCCCUGCGAUUUCCCCCAAAUGUGGGAAACUCACCAGCCUAAUUUGUGCUAGCGGGGGACUGCGUUCACACUCCUCCCUA